UCAUCGGCCUCAGAUUGGUAGGACUACCCGCUGAACUUAAGCAUAUCAAUAAGCGGAGGAAAAGAAACUAACAAGGAUUCCCCUAGUAACGGCGAGUGAAGAGGGAAGAGCCCAAGAUUGAAAGCUGGCGUCUUCGGCGUCCGCAUUGUAAUCUCAAGAAGUGUUUUCCGCUUCGGACCAUGCCUAAGUCCCUUGGAAAAGGGCAUCAUAGAGGGUGAUAAUCCCGUACAUGGCAUGGAGCGCCCGAAGCUUUGUGAUACGCUUUCUAAGAGUCGAGUUGUUUGGGAAUGCAGCUCAAAAUGGGUGGUAAAUGCCAUCUAAGGCUAAAUAUUGGGGAGAGACCGAUAGCGAACAAGUACAGUGAUGGAAAGAUGAAAAGAACUUUGAAAAGAGAGUUAAACAGUACGUGAAAUUGCCAAAAGGGAAGGGUAGGAGGUCAGAGAUGCGGCCUGGGAUUCAGCCUUGCUUUUGCUUGGUGUUUUUCCCAGGUGGCAGGCCAACGUCGGUUUUGGGCACUGGAGAAGGGUGGGAGGAAUGUGGCACCUCUCGGGGUGUGUUAUAGCCUCCUACUGGAUACAGCGACCGAGACCGAGGACAGCAGCGUACUCGCAAGAGCGGGCCUUCGGGCACCUUUACGCUUAGGGC
rnacentral:rRNA from 1 species